rnacentral:lncRNA from 1 species
CUGAGCAUCAUUUAACUCAAGAGCCUUGCGGCACUCCCACUUCUACUGGAUCUCAAUCUAUACACUUAAUGGAGCGCGAGCUUUCUAACUAUUUUAUGUGAGAUGGGUGCCUUCACCUCUGUAAGAACCUUUAUCUCGAAAGAGAUUAAGUAAGGCAAGUUUCUGACCAUUAAUUCUGUAACAAAGGAGCGUAGUGGCAGGCUCGCAUAGCUAAAGCCUUCAAGUCCUAUUAUCGGAGAGGGACUUUUUCCAUUAUUUAUCCUAUUUCCGAUCGGACCUUGCCCUUGCCAAUUCCUUUUCUAUCCCUAUAUUAGAAUUAGCCCGACUUGCCAUUAGAGUGUUCUUUCAGACGUUGAGAGGAAGGGACCCGCGGACACACCAUCAGAGCUAGAUUUAGCUUAGGAUCGGUCAAUUGCCCCAACCCCAUCAUCGAAUGAGGUUAAGUGCGCCUUUCGGAGACUUUGAUAAAGAAUCCCUUCCUUCGGCGAACGGCUAGACACUUCUAUAGUGGGAUCUCUUGAACCUAUGAAACUCGUGAAAGUGGGUGAACCCCUUGCCCCUUCCCUGGCUCUCCUUGCACGUAUCCCGAGUCGCGAGGUGAAACUGAAAGUGGAAAUAGAAUUCCAUAUCCGCUGUGGUGCUUUGCUCCCUC